rnacentral:tRNA from 1 species
GACAGUGUGGCCUAGUGGAUAGAGCACUGGACUGGAACUCAGGGGACCUGGACUGUAUUUCCAGCUCUGCCA